CAGGACGAACGCUGGCGGCGUGCCUAAUACAUGCAAGUCGAGCGGACAGAUGGGAGCUUGCUCCCUGAUGUUAGCGGCGGACGGGUGAGUAACACGUGGGUAACCUGCCUGUAAGACUGGGAUAACUCCGGGAAACCGGGGCUAAUACCGGAUGCUUGUUUGAACCGCAUGGUUCAAACAUAAAAGGUGGCUUCGGCUACCACUUACAGAUGGACCCGCGGCGCAUUAGCUAGUUGGUGAGGUAACGGCUCACCAAGGCGACGAUGCGUAGCCGACCUGAGAGGGUGAUCGGCCACACUGGGACUGAGACACGGCCCAGACUCCUACGGGAGGCAGCAGUAGGGAAUCUUCCGCAAUGGACGAAAGUCUGACGGAGCAACGCCGCGUGAGUGAUGAAGGUUUUCGGAUCGUAAAGCUCUGUUGUUAGGGAAGAACAAGUGCCGUUCAAAUAGGGCGGCACCUUGACGGUACCUAACCAGAAAGCCACGGCUAACUACGUGCCAGCAGCCGCGGUAAUACGUAGGUGGCAAGCGUUGUCCGGAAUUAUUGGGCGUAAAGGGCUCGCAGGCGGUUUCUUAAGUCUGAUGUGAAAGCCCCCGGCUCAACCGGGGAGGGUCAUUGGAAACUGGGGAACUUGAGUGCAGAAGAGGAGAGUGGAAUUCCACGUGUAGCGGUGAAAUGCGUAGAGAUGUGGAGGAACACCAGUGGCGAAGGCGACUCUCUGGUCUGUAACUGACGCUGAGGAGCGAAAGCGUGGGGAGCGAACAGGAUUAGAUACCCUGGUAGUCCACGCCGUAAACGAUGAGUGCUAAGUGUUAGGGGGUUUCCGCCCCUUAGUGCUGCAGCUAACGCAUUAAGCACUCCGCCUGGGGAGUACGGUCGCAAGACUGAAACUCAAAGGAAUUGACGGGGGCCCGCACAAGCGGUGGAGCAUGUGGUUUAAUUCGAAGCAACGCGAAGAACCUUACCAGGUCUUGACAUCCUCUGACAAUCCUAGAGAUAGGACGUCCCCUUCGGGGGCAGAGUGACAGGUGGUGCAUGGUUGUCGUCAGCUCGUGUCGUGAGAUGUUGGGUUAAGUCCCGCAACGAGCGCAACCCUUGAUCUUAGUUGCCAGCAUUCAGUUGGGCACUCUAAGGUGACUGCCGGUGACAAACCGGAGGAAGGUGGGGAUGACGUCAAAUCAUCAUGCCCCUUAUGACCUGGGCUACACACGUGCUACAAUGGGCAGAACAAAGGGCAGCGAAACCGCGAG
rnacentral:rRNA from 2 species